UGGCGGACGGGUGAGUAUGUCUGGGAAACUGCCCGAUGGAGGGGAUAACUACUGGAAACGGUAGCUAAUACCGCAUAACGUCGCAAGACCAAAGAGGGGGACCUUCGGGCCUCUUGCCAUCGGAUGUGCCCAGAUGGGAUUAGCUAGUAGGUGGGGUAACGGCUCACCUAGGCGACGAUCCCUAGCUGGUCUGAGAGGAUGACCAGCCACACUGGAACUGAGACACGGUCCAG
rnacentral:rRNA from 1 species